rnacentral:lncRNA from 10 species
CCUCUGUCACCCAGGCUGGAGUGCAGUGGCGCAAUCUCUGUCUCUGAUGAAGGAAGAAAGAGGAUAAUACUGCGAUGAAUAUUUUGUGACGUAUUUCCAUAUCCACAUAUAUGACAGCUUCUCUAGGUUGUGUGUCUCAGAAGAGAAAUAAUGUAUCAUAGAUUUUGGAAGAAGCACGAAAAUGAUUUACUGAUUUAGGAACUGGGUGGAGUAGACCACAAAAAGACAAAUCAAAAACAUCUGGAAUGAACUAGUUGAGAGAGAAAAAGAGAGAGCAAGAAAAAAAGCAGGAGCCGGCAAGAGGGAGCCUCAGCCAACACUACAUCAGAGGCACAUUGUGGAUGGAGGAAAUGAGUUUAGUCAAGCCAGCUGUGACUUCAAAGGGGCUGCUCUCCCAGAGAACAGUGAGAAAGGGUUCCCCCUUCAGUGAAGACUGCAAAGUUCAGCCAGCGCCAACCCAAAGGGAAUGGACUCCAGGAAGGGGCAAAUUACAUUCAACAUACAAGAAAGAAUAUUUUCCUUCAUGAAGUGGCUGUGACAGUCUGAAGAGGAAGGAAAAUGACAAAAAAGAAAGGGCCAGUACGUGGAAAAUGCGGAAAUUGGAACUUACUAUAAGUAACUAAUUCAGAAAUCAGGCUGGCAGAAGUGUUAUACAUUCACUGGAAGAAAUUGGUGAAUAUAUGGAAAACAUAAAUGUUAUGUAUCCUGGAACUUAAAAUAAAAAUUAAUAAUAAAAAAUGUUAUCUCUCCCAAGCACUCAUUUGAUGCUUGAAUCCUCUCUAUGACAUCCUUACCAAGGAUUUGUUCUUCUUAUGCUUGGGUACUUCAACUGAUGAGAAUCUCACUAGCUCAGGAUGCAGUUUGCUUUCUUUUAGAUAGCUCUGUUAGAGCUGCCUUCUUCCAGGGCUGAACACUUCCAUAAUUUAAAUUCCAUUUAUUAGUUUUAGUCCUGCCCCUUGGGAACUCGUAGCAAAGAUACUUACAUAUUAAUGUGACAUUUUUCAGGUACUUGAGGUUAGUAAUUAUGUAGCAUAUGACAUAGAUUAAACUCAUAGACUCUGGAAACAAACUACUUGCCUUCCCUUCAAAUUCUUAUUCUGCCACUUACUUACUAUGUGACCUCCAGAGAGUUAUUUACUAUCUCUGUAACUUUAUUUCUUUAUCUAUAUAAAAAGAUAUAAUAAUAGCAGUACAUCAAAGGGCUUUUAUAAGGAGUCCAUGAAUUAAUAUAUGUAGAUGUGCCUGGAACACGGUAAGUGCUCUAAAAGUUUUCACUAUUACUAAUCAUCAUCAUUAUUAUACAGAUCUUGUCAGAUAUCGGACCUAGGCCAUCUUUCUAAGUCUUUACUCAUUCAUUAAGUGAGCUCAUUCACUCCCAUGGCUUCAAUCACCAUCUAUAUGAUUAUGAAAAAUCUAUUUUCCUCCUGAGCCAAGAGCUAAAUGUAAGUGACCAGUUAUGGAUACAGGAAUUGCUCUGGCCACCAUAAUUUGGGUGGAAAUGGUGCAUACCACUUCCAGUUCUUGCCCCUUAAAAUACCAUGAGAAAUCUUGCACUCCUUUCUCCUAGUUCAUCAGCUAACUGAAUGCAGAGAAACCAGUGGAGGACUCCAAGGAAAUUCCAAAGAGUGGUUGAACCACGGGUUGGAAGAAGUCUAGAUCCCUGAGUCAAUGUUUGGAGAGGAGCUGCCGAGGAGAGCCACCAGAGAGGGACACAUGAGCAAGAAAUAAACAUUUCUUCUGUUAAAACAUUGAGAUUUUAUAGCCCAUCAUGACUAAUCCAAUGAGACCCUAGUGUAGAUCUUUUGCUUAGUCUUCGCUUCUGAGAUCUAGAACUAUAUAUUUCAUUUGCUAAUCACCAUUUCUACAUGAACCCUCAAAUAGGGUAAUAGGUAAACUCAGAGUUUCUAAGAUUAGACUGUGUUGAAAUCUUAGUCCUUCCAGGUACAGCUAUAUGACUCAAUGUGUGUGUGGGGGCGGGGGCAGGGGGGUUAAAUAAACUAUUCAUAACUGUAUCUACUUAAAAGUAAUAAGAAAAUGAAAUGAGCAUAUACAUAUAUAUAAAACAGUUAUCGGCACAUAGUAAAUGCUCAGUAAUUGUCAGGUAAUACAGUUAUUAUGACCAUCCCACUCCAAAUUUGCUCUUUCCCCAGGUUUUUUAUGUUGAUAAAUGGUACCACCAUCCAAUAGUUGUUAAAAUUAGAAAUUUGCAACUUUAUCUUGGAUCACUUUUUUUAUCCUCCCACAUGGAUAAAGUCAAUCAAUAACUGAUUGAUUACACUCCUUCAGUAUUUUUCAAAUCCAUUUGCUUAACUCUCUCCUCUUCUAUUCUACACUUUUCAUCCUAGUUAAAGCCACCAGCCUAUGUAACUUUAUUAUAUUUGCGUCCUUACUAGUCUUUUCAAAUCCAUCCUUGCACCCUCCCAAUUCAUGCUUUAUGUGGAAAUGUAGGCAUUUUUUAAAAAAUUCAAAUCAAAUCUUGCUGCUCAAAAUUUUAAAUGCAUCAACACCGAUUGCUCUUUGGUGCCACCACAUUCCUGACCCAUUACUUCAGCACCCCCUCAAACCCACCACAGGACUUUAUUUCUACAAUUCAGCCACACUGGACUUUUGUCGGUGUCAGAAAAGUGCCAUAGAUUGUCCCAUCUUUGAUGUUAUCAUGUGUUGGUUACUUUUGCUUAGAAUAAACUUUCUCCCCAUCCCAGUUUACCUAAUUAAUUCCUGACCACUCUUUACAUUUCUGCUUAAAUGCUAUACUCUCCAGAAAGCCCUCUUAGCAAUCUCUGCCCACACUUCUUAAAGCUAUGCCUACAUAGCCCCCACCUUAUUUCUUCAUUAAACUCUUUGCACUUGCCAUUAUUUGUAUAAUUAUGUUUUCCCAGCUAACCAGGAGACUUUGUGAGGGCAGAGACCUCAUAUGUAUGGCUCACUGCCUGGUAUAGACAGUAUAUUGGCUUAUACGAAGGAGGAGUUUAUUAAAUACAGUAAAUUUUUUUAAGUGUGAAUAUGAGUCUGUUAAAUGACUGUGUGUAUAUGUACCCAAUGUAAAGUUUUAUUUGGUUCGGUCUAGAAAAAUGUCCUACAGCCAAUUCAUGUACCUAAUUAAAUUCACUUACAAAUUUAGGAAACUCAGCACCUGCCCUAUUUGAGUUUAAAACUAGUUGAUUUGAUAGACAUAUAAAAUAAAAACUAUACUAUAGUAUCAUCCAUGCUGUCAUAAUAGAAUUAUCUCAAAACCUCCAUUGAUGUACUAUUUGGG